GGAUAGCUCAGUCAGUAGAGCAUGAGACUCUUCAUCUUAUGGCUGUGGGUUCGAGCCUCAUGUUGGGCA